CUGACGCUCAUGCACGAAAGCGUGGGGAGCAUACAGGAUUAGAUACCCUGGUAGUCCACGCCCUAAACGAUGCUGACUAGUUGUUCGGGAUUUACAUCCUGAGUAACGUAGCUAACGCGUGAAGUCAGCCGCCUGGGGAGUACGGUCGCAAGAUUAAAACUCAAAGGAAUUGACGGGGACCCGCACAAGCGGUGGAUGAUGUGGAUUAAUUCGAUGCAACGCGAAAAACCUUACCUACCCUUGACAUGUCACUAACGAAGUAGAGAUACAUUAGGUGCUCGUAAGAGAAAGUGAACACAGGUGCUGCAUGGCUGUCGUCAGCUCGUGUCGUGAGAUGUUGGGUUAAGUCCCGCAACGAGCGCAACCCUUGUCUUUAGUUGCUACGCAAGAGCACUCUAAAGAGACUGCCGGUGACAAACCGGAGGAAGGUGGGGAUGACGUCAAGUCCUCAUGGCCCUUAUGGGUAGGGCUUCACACGUCAUACAAUGGUGCAUACAGAGGGUUGCCAACCCGCGAGGGGGAGCUAAUCUCAGAAAAUGCAUCGUAGUCCGGAUCGUAGUCUGCAACUCGACUACGUGAAGCUGGAAUCGCUAGUAAUCGCGGAUCAGAAUGUCGCGGUGAAUACGUUCCCGGGUCUUGUACACACCGCCCGUCAUACCAUGGGAGUGGGUUUUGCCAGAAGCCGUUAGCCUAACCGCAAGGAGGCGACUGC
rnacentral:rRNA from 1 species